rnacentral:rRNA from 1 species
GGUUGCGAUCAUACCAGCACUAAUGCACCGGAUCCAAUCAGAACUCCGUAGUUAAGCGUGCUUGGGCGAGAGUAGUACUAGGAUGGGUGACCCCCUGGGAAGUCCUCGUGUUGCAACCC